rnacentral:rRNA from 1 species
UACGUAGGGGGCAAGCGUUGUCCGGAUUUAUUGGGCGUAAAGAGCUCGUAGGCGGUUCCGUAAGUCGUGAAGUCAAAUCUCUGGGCUCAACCCAGAAUCGCUUCCGAUACUGCGGUGACUGGAGUCCGGUAGGGGAGUGUGGAAUUCCUGGUGUAGCGGUGAAAUGCGCAGAUAUCAGGAGGAACACCAACAGCGAAGGCAGCACUCUGGGCCGGCACUGACGCUGAGGAGCGAAAGCAUGGGGAGCGAACAGG